GAUGAACGCUGGCGGCGUGCCUAAUACAUGCAAGUCGAGCGAACGGACGAGAAGCUUGCUUCUCUGAUGUUAGCGGCGGACGGGUGAGUAACACGUGGAUAACCUACCUAUAAGACUGGGAUAACUUCGGGAAACCGGAGCUAAUACCGGAUAAUAUUUUGAACCGCAUGGUUCAAAAGUGAAAGACGGUCUUGCUGUCACUUAUAGAUGGAUCCGCGCUGCAUUAGCUAGUUGGUAAGGUAACGGCUUACCAAGGCAACGAUGCAUAGCCGACCUGAGAGAGUGAUCGGCCACACUGGAACUGAGACACGGUCCAGACUCCUACGGGAGGCAGCAGUAGGGAAUCUUCCGCAAUGGGCGAAAGCCUGACGGAGCAACGCCGCGUGAGUGAUGAAGGUCUUCGGAUCGUAAAGCUCUGUUAUUAGGGAAGAACAUAUGUGUAAGUAACUGUGCACAUCUUGACGGUACCUAAUCAGAAAGCCACGGCUAACUACGUG
rnacentral:rRNA from 1 species